rnacentral:misc_RNA from 1 species
GUUCCGUAGGUGAACCUGCGGAAGGAUCAUUACAAAAAAUAAGAGUAGCAAUACUCUUGCUCGAAGAGUUUGGCGUUCGCCCUCCCCUCUCCUUGCGAGAAGGGAACGAACAAAAAACGACUUGAGAAAUCUUUUGUGCACCGUAAAAACAAAUUCGCGUUUAAAUCUUCUGUCUGAUGUAUAUUUACAGUUUUCGCGAACCGGAUUCACGUCCAUUUGCAAGAAAAGAAAACAUAAAAAUAACUUUUAACAACGGAUCUCUUGGCUCUC